rnacentral:rRNA from 1 species
UGCGGAGGAUGCGAGCGUUAUCCGGAUUUAUUGGGUUUAAAGGGUGCGCAGGCGGCACGGCAAGCCGGCGGUCAAAUCGCGGGGCUCAACCCCGCCCAGCCGUCGGAACUGCCGGGCUAGAGUGGGCGAGAAGUGCGCGGAAUGCGUGGUGUAGCGGUGAAAUGCAUAGGUAUCACGCAGAACUCCGAUUGCGAAGGCAGCGCACCGGCGCCCUACUGACGCUCAGGCACGAAAGCGUGGGUAUCGAACAGG